AGUCCAGCUACGACAGCCACCGCGGAAACUAUUAAGGGCCCGCUGGGGGCCAGCUUCGUGUUAAGUGCUUUAUUCAAUAAUAACAAUUAGAAUAAACUUCCACUUUUCUCUUGCUUAUGUAGUGCCAGGCACUGUUAGAGACUUUGAAUAAUAGUGAAAGUACUUAGUAUAAGUAUAAUGUUUAUGGGUGAGUGAUAUGGGCUAGGCACUGUGACGUCUUGUAAAUAAUAAUUAUAAAUAUAAUAAACUACCAAUUAUUGCUUAUUUAUUUUGUAUCACUCUACUGAAUGCUUCCAAUAACAACAGCAACUACAAUAAAUACAAGCUACUCUACGUUAAAUGUUUACUAUGCAACUGGCACUGUGCUGAAUUCUUUACUAGUAAAUUCUAUUUGUUUAUGCAACAAAUAUUUAGAAAUACAAUGAUCAGAAAAGCGAACCUGAUUCCAAUCCUUUUACUAUAGCCUAGUGAAGAGACAUCUUUUGAAUAAAUAACCACACACGUAAGUUAAAUAAUUAAAAAUUGCUGGAGAAUCCAGAUCUGCUUGACCUCAAAAGUGGAUACUCUACAUCAUGAUUACCGUUUAAAUUGUAUUUCAUUAUAUUAUGUUUACUAUGGAAGUUAAAUAGGUGUUCUUAAUAGUCUCCUAUACAUACCCAUAUAGGUGAGACAAAUGUGGCAAAUUGCUAGCAAUGGCUGACUCUACAUCGCAGGUAUAUGGUUUUCUUGUACUGUUUCUCCCACUUUGCUGUAUACUUGAAAUUUUUCAUGAUAAAAAGGUUUUUUAAAAGAAUAGUCUUUGUAUUUUAACUGGAGCAUUUAGUCCAUUUACAUUUAUUAUAUUUACUGAUAUAUCUGGAAUUAUUUCUACCAUUGUAUUUUGUUAUUUCUAUUUGUCCUGCCUGGUUUUUUUCCCCUUUCCUUUCUUCUUUAGGGUUUAUUUUUAUUCUCAUUCUGAUUUUCUUCACCUGUAUACUCUAUUUCUAAGUUUUAGUGGUUACUUCAAACUUUUGGGCAUGCAUACUUACCUUGUGAAAGUCCAAUAUCUUUAAAUAUUUGUAAAAAUGUCUUUACCCUGUUUCCUUAAAAUAUAAAGACUUUGGAGUACUUUAAUCACCCAUCCUCUAAAUUAUACACCUUAAUGUAGUGUAUGUUAAGUUUAACCUUUGCCACUGUAACCCCAAGAGACAUUACUAAAUUGUUUUAUUCAGUCAACAUUAGUUUAGAUUCAGCCACACAAUUACCAUUUUUAUCCACCUUUUCUUCUUGCAUCUCAGCUUUCACCAACAGGAUCACUCUCCUUUUGCCUGAGGUAAAUCCUUUAAAUUUUAUUUUUUUGUAGCUUCGUUGGUGCAAAUCCUCUCAGUUUCUGCUCAUCUGCAAAUGGAUUCAUUUUUGCCUUUUGUUGUUUUUAUUUUAUUUAUUUAUUUAUUUGGAGAUGAGGUCUUGCUCUGUUGCCCAUGCUGGAGUGCAGUGGCAUGAUCGUGGCUCACUGCAACCUGUAUCUCCCAGGCUGAAACAAUCCUCCCACCUCAGACUCCGGUGUAGCUGGGACUAAAAGCAUGCACCACCACGCCCAGCUAAUUUUUUUAUUUUCUGUAAAAUCUCACUAUGUUGCCCAGGCUGGUUUCAAACUCCUGGGCUCAAGUGAUCCUCCUGCUUCAGCCGCCAAAGUGCUAGGAUUACAGGCAUGAGCCACUGCGCCUGGCCUUGCCCUUGUUCUUGACAGAUAUUUUGGCUUGCUUGCUUGAAUGACAGCUGUCCUCUCUCAGCACACUUGAUUGCCAUCCACUGUUUGCCUGUUCCCCCUCAUUGCUCCUCAGGAGUCCAGUGACAAUCUUAACAUCGUUCCUUCAUAGGUUGUUGGUCUUUUCUCCCUCUUCUCAUGUUCUACAGUUUUACCAUGCUGUAUCUUUUUUUUUUUUUUUUUUUGAGACGGAGUCUCGCUCUGUCCCCCAGUCUGGAGUGCAGUGACGCCAUCUCAGCUCACUGCAACCUCCGCCUCCCAUGUUCAAGCGAUUCUCCUGCCUCAGCCUCCUGAGUCGCUGGGAUUACAGGCACGCACCACCAUGCCCAGCUAAUUUUUGUGUUUUCAGUAGAGACAGAGUUUUGCCAUGUUGGCCAGAUGGUCUCAAACUCCUGACCUCAGGUAAUCCACCCACCUCGACCUCCCAAAAAGUUGGGAUUACAGGCGUGAGCCACCAUGCCCAGCUCAUGCUGUUAUCUUUUUAUUUAUCCUGCCUUGAGUUCUUUGGGCUUUCUGAAUUUGAUGAUUGGUGUCUUUCAUUAUUCUUGAAAACUCUCAGACAAUACUUUUUUUUUUUCAAUUUAAUUUUACUUUUUUAUUGUGGUAAGAUACACAUCACAUAAAAUUUACUCUCUAUCAUUUUUAAGUAUCCAGUGGUAUUAACAAGAUUCCUAUUGUGGUGCGACCUCACCAUCAUCCAUCUCUAGAGCUCCCUUCAUCUUGCAAAACUAGAACUCUGUACCCCUUAAGCAAUCAUUCCCCAUGCUCCCUCUCCUAAGCCCCUGGCAACCAUCAUUCCACAUCCUGCCUCUGUGAAUUUGACUAGUCUAGGUACUUUUUGUAAGCAGAAUCAUACAAUACUUGUCGUUUUGUGACUGGCUUAUUUUGCCCAGCAUAAAGUCCCCAAAGUUCAUCCGUGUUGUAUCAUACGUGACAAUAUCUCUGUUAAAUGUUAUCUUGGAUGGACACAGUGGUUCAUGCCUGUAGUCUCAGCAAUUUAGGAGGUCAAGGCGGGCAGACUGCUUGAAUCCAGGAGUUCAAGACCAGCUUGGGCAACAUGGUAAAACCCCAUCUCCACAAAAAAUACAAAAAAAAAAAAAAAAAAAUUAGCCACGCAUGGUGGUGCAUGCCUGUAAUCCCAGUUACUCAGGAGGCUGAGGUGGGAGGACUUGAGCCCAGGAGGUGGAGGCUGCAGUGAACCAUUAUACCAUUGCACUCCAGCCUGGGGUAACAGAGUGAGAUCCUGUCUCAAAAAAAGAAGAAAUAAAAAUAAAUGUUAUCUCAACCUCGUUCUCUCACUCUUUACAUCUUGUAGUGUGAUUAGUAGUUAUUCAACUAAUAUUUUUCAAACUGUAGGUUGUUUUCCAACAGUGGCUUAUAAAAUCAAUGUAGUAGAUUGUUACCAGUGUUGAGAAAGAACGAGAAUAUAAUAUAUUGGAGUGUAUUGUAUUAUUUCAUGAAUCUUUUGUUUCAGUUGUAUUUAUUAAUAUACACAUAUCUAUGGAGUGAGUCACAACUAAAAUACAUUUAUUACUGUGGAUUGUGAAAGAAAAAGAGAAAAGUCUUGUGCCCUUCUCCAUGUCUAUUAACCUCUCUAUCACAUCUUAAUCUGUCCUCUUUAUGUUCCACGUUCUGGAUAGUUCUUCAGAUCUUUCUUCUAGUCACUAAUUAUCUCUUAGGCUAUUGAUAAACCUGUUUCAGGAGUUUUUCAUUUUGUUUAUUUUUUUUUAAGCCUAUAAGUUCUAUUUUGUUCUUUUACAUAUCCAAGUAGUUAUAGGUUGUGUUUUUUCUUUUUUUUUAAUUAUUAUUUGAGACAAGGUCUCCCUCUGUUGCCCAGGCUGGAGUUUAGUGGUGUAAUGUUGGCUCACUGCAGCCUCUACCUCAUGGGCUCAAGCCAUCCUCCCACCUCAGCCUCCCGAGUAGCUGAAACUACAGGUAGGCACCACCACACCCGGCUAAUGUUUGAAAGUUUUGUAGAGAUGGGAUUUCACCACAUUACCCAGGCUGGUCUCGAGCUCCUGAGUUUAUGCAAUCCGCUCGUCUCAGCCUCCCAAAGUGCUGAGAUUAAUGGCAUGAGCCACUGUGCCUGGCCACAUUUAUAGGUUUUUUAACACUGGUUCCCAGCUCCUCUGCCCUCCCCCAGGGAAUGGUGCCAUAACAAAGCUUUAGUGUUGGUCUCUUCUGCCGGGUCACUUUGGUAAGGGGAAGCCCAUGUUCCUAAGCCCAUACAGAGCCUCCACACCUGCCACCAUGGCCACUGCAUAAAUAAGCUCAUUGAGCACGCAAUGGCACAGCUGUGGGAAAGACUGACUGUUGUCUGCAGAAUGUGCCCUCUUGUCCACUCAAUUAAUAGAGUUGCUGCUGCAGUAGAUGUCUUU
rnacentral:lncRNA from 1 species